GGGGAUGUAGCUCAGUGGUAGAGCACUUGCCUAGAGUGCAAGCUGCCUCUGCCCUGGGUUAGAUCCCUAGUACCA
rnacentral:tRNA from 1 species